GCGAGAGAGGGCACUGGAGGUGACAACAAUGGAGAAGGAUCUUUCUUCUGACAAGUUUUCGAUACUGCAAGCGUUUUGAACCAUCCAUCGACCAUCCGUGCUGAGCCUGCGCCAUACAGGAUGGCUGCAG